rfam:Emmonsia sp. CAC-2015a strain CBS 136260 supercont2.1314, whole genome shotgun sequence.
GACAAGAUGGCCGAGUGGUUAAGGCGUACCGUUCAAGUUGUCACGUGAACACUUGGAAAUUCUACUAAAAAAGAAAUUUCCUGAUCCGGUAUGGGGAAACCCGCGUGAGUUCGAGUCUCGCUCUUGUCA